CCUACGGGAGGCAGCAGUGAGGAAUAUUGGUCAAUGGCCGUAAGGCUGAACCAGCCAAGUCGCGUGAGGGAAGAAGGAUCUAUGGUUUGUAAACUUCUUUUAUAGGGGAAUAAAGUUAUCCACGUGUGGCUCUUUGCAUGUACCCUAUGAAUAAGCAUCGGCUAACUCCAUGCCAGCAGCCGCGGUAAUACGGAGGAUGCGAGCGUUAUCCGGAUUUAUUGGGUUUAAAGGGUGCGUAGGGUGUUUUUUAAGUCAGCGGUGAAAGUUUGUGGCUCAACCAGAAAAUUGCCGUUGAAACUGGAAGACUUGAGUGUGUUUGAGGCAGGCGGAAUGCGUGGUGUAGCGGUGAAAUGCAUAGAUAUCACGCAGAACCCCGAUUGCGAAGGCAGCUUACCAAGCCAUAACUGACACUGAAGCACGAAAGCGUGGGGAUCAAACAGGAUUAGAUACCCUAGUAGUC
rnacentral:rRNA from 1 species